rnacentral:lncRNA from 1 species
GCUCUUUAUGGGAGGAAAUGCAGGUCACCAGUUUGUUGGGAAGAGGUUGGAGAAAGGUCCAUAGCAGGACCUGAAUUGGUAGAGAUUACCAAUAGAGUGGUGCCCAUUAUCAGAGAGAGACUCAGAACUGCUGUCAGUUGGCAGAAAAGUGAUGCAGAUGUCCGCAGGAAGCAUGUAGAGUUCCAGGAGGGUGAUCUGGUAUUGCUGAAAGUGUCUCCAAUGAAAGGGGUAGUUCGGUUUGGUAAGAAGGGUAAACUAGCUCCACGGUACAUUGGGCCAUUUAAGAUUUUGCAGAGGGUCGGAAAUGUGUCAUACAAGUUAGAUUUACCUGCCUCCAUGGAGAGAAUCCAUCCGGUCUUCCAUGUUUCCAUGAUACGGAAAUUUGUGUCAGAUUCGAGUAAGGUUCUUAGUGAACCAGAUAUGGAGAUCCUUGGAGAUCUCACUUAUGUAGAGCAGCCAGUUCAGAUCAUUGACACUUAGAUCAGGAAGUUAAGGAACAAGGAGAUCCUGAUGGUGAAAGUCCUUUGGAACCACCAUAAUCUUGAAGAAUGCACUUGGGAGACACGGGAGUCUAUGCUUCAGCAGUACCCCUACCUCUUUUGAGGUUAGAGUUUGUGUGCCUUCUUGUAUGUUUAUAUGUUAUGUUACUGCUAUGGUUUUUGAAUGCAUGUUAUAGUGAGAAACAUUCGGGGAUGAAUGUUUUUAAGGAGGGAGAAUGUAAUACCCGGCUAGACCCCGGCAUCGGAAUCUGUACCUUUUGGGUGGGUUCUCUGUGGAAUAUAGAAUUUCACGGGAUGACGGAUUAUUCUAGAAGGGUAAAUUAGAGGUUUUCUAAAUGUUUUUAUGUGAUUUUAAUGUUUUAAGUUAAGAAGAAUUGAGUUUUGGAAAAGAAAAAGGCCAAGGAGAUUUUACCAGGUUCGGCCGCCGAAGGUGAUGUUCGGCCGCUGAAAGUUGCAUGGUUUCGCAUGCACGUUCGGCUGCCGAAGGAGAGGCGCCAUGCCACCUAUUUAGGCCACUUUGACCGGAAACAGGGGUGUGGAACCCCCUGUUUUGAGCCAAAGCUAGGCUUUUACUCUCCUUGGUGUGUUCUUAUGAGAUUUCUUUAAAUCUUGCAUGUUUUUACAUGUUCUAAACUUUGUUUUAGAAUUUUGAAGCAAAAAGAGCAAGUUGAGCAACUUGGAGAAUUUGAUUGGUUUUCCACCCAUCUUCAAGUUAGGACCAUUAAUCCUCUCGUUCUUCAAGAGGUAAGCAUGGAUCCUCCUCUCCCCUUUAUGUUUAAAUUAUGUUUUAAGAGUUUUUGGGAGUUUCAUGGUUAGAUAUGCAUGGAUUUAGGUUUUUGUAUAAGUUUGGAGUUUAUGCUUUAUAUGAUGAUUUAGUGUGUUUGUUGGAGUUUAAGUUAGUUUUUAAGCUCCUUUAUGCAUGGUUACUGAUAGUUGCAUGUUUUGGAAAGUUGGCUUGCAUGUUGAUAGGUUGUGUGAGGUUUUGGAGGCUGUGAGGUGUGAGUUACCCAAGUUUCUGCCUUCUGGGGAAACUCAGGUUCGGCCGCCGAAAGUGGACUUUCGGCCGCCGAACCCCUUGUGGAACCAGUUUCGGUUGCCUAAACUUGCCCCCGAAAGUGGACUUUCGUCUCUGGAGGCAAGUUUCGACCGCCGAAGGAGGGUGACUUUCGUCUCUGGAGUGGACUUUCGGCCGCCGAACCUUGCCCCCGAAAGUGCCUGACUUUCGUCUCUGGAGGGGGGUUUCGGCCGCCGAAAGGCCUCUGUCCAGCUUUCCUUUGCCAAUUUUUCCAUGCAUGUUUAUGAUGUUUUAGGGAGGUUUUGGGGAGAUGUUUAUAGUUAUAUUAGAGUAUGUUCAGUACCUCAUUUGAGUCCACCUGUGUAGGUACGGACCCGAGGAACCAAGGAGGCCCACAGAGUUAGAUUUACAGAGACAGUUCAGCUAUUGUUAGAGGUGAGUGGAACGAAACUAUGUUUUAAAUAAAUGAAUGUUUCAGCAUGAUCCAUGCAUCAUGAAUGUCAUGUUUAUAGUAGGAUGUAUUGCAUUAGUGACCACGAAGCUGUUGCAUUGCAUAACUAUGUGAUAUGAUAAUGAUGUGGAUGGACCCAGGCGACCCAAUAGCCCUAUGGAAAGACCUGGCUAGGCCAGGCAUUACGAAGUCCUGUGGUGCCCUUCAUGGUGGCCGGGCAAAUAGCUUAGGGAUUUUUGAGGUCAUGUCCAUCCGUUAUGUGAGUUAUUUGUGAUGUGAUGCAUUUCAUUUGGCAUAUGUAUUUAAUGUUUUUAUAUAGUUCUACUCACUGGGCUUAGUAGCUCACCCGUCUCCCUAACCCCAUGUUUCAGGGCCUCAGAGGAAAGUCAGAGUAAUGGUUAUGAAUAUGUUGUAAGAUAUUGUAAUGAUAUUGGAGAUAAAGAUUUGUGCUUAGCUCUAUAGUAUGUUGUAUCCCUCUUGUACAUGAUCAAUAUUUUUAUGAUUUAUGAUGUUUAUCUUUAUGAUAACCACUGAGCUUGACACUUUUAUUAUUAUCCAUCUGGAGUAUUUGAUGAGAACUCCAGUAGGGUGAUUAUGUUUACAGAUAUAGUACAUGUGCAGGUCAAGCUGAAUUAAUGAAAGUUCAAAAUUUUUAUGGAAAUGUAUGAUCAUGUAUGGGAUUUAUCAGGUACUCAGAGUGCAUAGUAGGCUUGCUACAGGUUCCAGCGGCCUUAGGUCGACCUGAAUCCUAGCGCCGGUAAUGGUCCAGUUUCCGGGCUGUUACAGAUUGGUAUCAGAGACCUAGGUUCACAUGGUCGGACCUAUAGAGUGUUUUGGGCUCAUAGAGGUCAUAGAAGGGCAAGCACAAUAGGAAAAUCAUGUCCACUAGGAUAGGAUGGAGAGUCCUGUCUUGAUGAUGUGUGUGUAAAGCCAUGAUUUUAUCCAUGUGCAUUUAAUGAUAUGAUAUGCUAUGUAUGUUAUGAGGAUUCAUGUGUUUUCACAUGGAUCAUUUGAUGUUAAUGUUUAUAUGUGAAUGUUAUGUUUUCAGAAGGCAGUAUGAGAGGAACUCAUCGAUCUGCUAGAUUGACUGGAGCUCCACCAGAGAAUGAGGGCAUGGAUGCCCGUCCCCCUGCUUUGCCGAGGGCAAUGUCUCAGAGGUCAGGAAGGGAAAGAUCAUCAAGGGACCCUAGAAGGUCUUUUGAUGGAAGCAGAAGAGAAACUGAGCAAGGCAGAAGGUCUAGUGAUGAGGGGGAGCCUAUGAAUGUUGAUCAAGGAAGAGAUGGAGGGUUAGGUGUUGGCAUGUCAGAAGAGGAUGUGGGAUCAUCUCAUGGAGGCGCUCAGGCCUCGGGGUAUGGUUAUCUGCCCCAGUUUUAGCCUUUUCCACAAGGCUCAGGAUAUUCGAUGGGGGGUACAUCGGAUUAUCCCAGUUUUAACCCGUAUCCCACUUAUAUGCCUUAUCCACCUUUCUACCGACCAUACCCCCAGUACCAAAUGUAUCCACCUUCACCUUUCUACACUAGUCCAGCAUACUCAACUCCAGGAAGUUCUGCACCUCCUCCCCCACCACCAGCAGAACCAGUAGUCCCUGUUGUCCCAGUAUCUCAGCCUGCCCCACCUAAGAAGAGUAAGUGAAGAUGACUGAUUACUUGAAACUGGAUGCUCCUAAGUAUCAGACUGGGGAUGAUCCAUUCGAGUACAUCAAAGCAGUGAAGAUGAUAGCAGAUGAAUUGGGGGCAGACGAUACCAGAGCCAUUUAGAUGUCUGGGUUCACUCUAAAGUGUAAGAGAGCAAAGAAGUGGUUUAAUACCUAUGUGGACCCUAGAGUGGAUAGCAUGUCUUGGGAGGAGUUUGCAAACGAGUUUGCUGGAUGGGCUUUUCCCGAUAGCUCCAGAGAACUGAAGAUGAUAGAAUUUGAGCAGCUGAGGCAAACUGAAGAUAUGAGUGUGGAUGAGUAUACUGAGAGGUUCAUGGACUUGCUGCAGUAUGUGGGUCAGGCCUAUGAUACAGAUCAGAAGAAGGCCAGGAGGUAUGCUAUGAGGCUCCAUUUCAGAUACUCCUCCUUGAUCCAGGCAGCGGAGAGAGAGAGCUUCCACACUGUGGUGGAUAUUGCACGCAAGAUGAAGGCCAGUGCCAUUAGUCAGGGAGCAGUUAAACAGCAGGUGGCACAACCUUCAGGAUCUAAGACCCCAGGAAGGGGCAAGACAGAUCCCUCUUCUCAGAAUGUAGCAACUUCUGGGGGUAAGAAGUGGACUGGUUCCAGUAAGAAUCCAAAGAAGAACAAGUUCUGGAACAAGUUGAAGGCAGGUCUGGGACUAGGAAGUGGCUCGAGUUCAGGAGCAGAGGCUUCAGUAUGUAUGAGAUGCGGUAAGCCGCAUAAGGGAGUGUGUCGGGCUGGGACGACAGCAUGUUUCAGGUGCAGUCAAGAGGGACAUAUGGCUCGGGAAUGUCCUAGAGCAGCUUUUUCAGCACCGUCCCAUCAGGCAGCUCCAGACAGUAUGGCUCAGCCGUCAGCUCCAGCCACUACUCAGGGCAGAGGCAGAGGGAGAGGAGCAGCCUCUUCUUCAGGUUCCCGAGGUGCAGGUCCGUCAGCUCCAGCACGGAUCUUCACCAUAACUCAGCAGGAGGCUGACACAUCUAACACCGUGGUGUUAGGUAAUCUCAUCAUUGGGUGUUUUGAUGUGUAUGCUUUGUUAGACCCUGGUUCUUCUCAUUCUUUCAUUGCUCCGAGAGCCAUAAAGAGACUGGGUUUGAUAAUUUCUGGGUUAGAGUGUCCCCUUUGGGUCAGCGGGCCCAAGUGUGAUCCAUCAGUGGCAGAGUCAGUCUGCCGGUUUUGUCCAGUGUUCAUAGAGAGUAGAUGCCUUCCAGCUGACCUUGUGGUUCUAGAGUUGACGGAUUUUGAUGUCAUUCUAGGGAUGGAUUGGCUAUCUGCUCAUGGUGCUACCUUGGACUGUAGAGAUAAGGUAGUUAGAUUCAGAGAUCAGGAUGGAUCAGAAUUUGUCUUCAGAGGAGACAAGAGGGGCACGCCGAGAGGUUUGAUAUCAGCCCUACAGGCUCGUAGGUUGCUUAGGAGGGGGUGUCAAGGGUUUCUGGCUCAUGUGAGAGAGCUAGAUCAUCAGGUUAGGGAACCUGCCUCAGUGCCUGUUUUCAGAGAAUUUCUAGAUGUGUUCCCAGACGAGCUUCCAGGACUACCACCUGAUAGGGAGAUAGAGUUCGAGAUAGAGUUAAUGCCUGGUACCAGACCGAUCUCUAUCCCUCCCUACAGGAUGGCACCAGCAGAGCUAAAGGAAUUGAAAGAGCAGCUUCAAGAGUUGGUAGAUAAGGGUUUCAUCCGACCGAGUACCUCACCUUGGGGUGCUCCAGUGCUGUUUGUUAGAAAGAAGGAUGGAUCCUUGAGACUUUGUAUCGACUACAGGCAGUUGAACAAAGUCACUACCAAGAAUAAGUAUCCUCUACCCAGGAUCGAUGAUCUAUUUGACCAGUUAGCUGGAGCGAGUUGUAUUUCUAAAAUAGAUCUGAGAUCGGGGUACCAUCAGUUGAGAAUCAGGGAAGAGGAUGUUCCAAAGACAGCUUUCAGGACUAGAUAUGGGCAUUAUGAGUUCCUGGUAAUGCCGUUUGGGUUAACUAACGCCCCUGCAGCAUUCAUGGAUCUCAUGAAUAGGGUUUUCAGACCGUAUCUGGAUCACUUUGUUAUUGUCUUCAUUGAUGAUAUCUUGGUGUAUUCUAGAAAUGCAGAGGAGCAUGCCCAGCAUUUGAGGAUAGUCUUGCAGACUUUAAGAGAGCAUGGCUUGUAUGCCAAGUUCUCUAAGUGUGAAUUCUGGUUAAGGAGCAUUUCUUUUUUGGGCCAUGUAGUGUCAAACCAAGGAAUAUCAGUGGACCCCAAGAAGAUAGAGGCUGUAGCUAACUGGCCUAGACCCACCACAGUGACAGAGAUUAAGAGUUUUCUGGGUUUGGCAGGUUAUUACAGGAGGUUCGUUCAGGACUUCUCCAGAAUUGUAGCUCCUAUGACCAGAUUGACCAAGAAAAAUCAGAAGUUUGUAUGGUCUGACGAAUGUGAGGAAAGCUUUGAAAAGCUAAAGGAGAGGUUGACCUCAGCACCGGUGUUAGCUCUGCCUGCUAGUGAUGAGGACUUCACAGUGUUCUGUGAUGCGUCCAGAGUGGGACUAGGUUGUGUGUUAAUGCAGAAUGACAGAGUGAUUGCUUAUGCUUCUAGACAGCUGAAGAAGCAUGAGAUGAACUAUCCUACACAUGACCUUGAGAUGGUAAUUGUUAUCAUAAGAGCCUACAGCACAUUUUGAGUCAGAGAGAAUUAAAUCUGAGGCAGAGAAGAUGGGUUGAGCUGCUUAGUGACUAUGAUUGUAAGAUAAAGUACCAUCCGGGUAAGGCAAAUGUUGUAGCAGACGCCUUAAGCCGGAAAUCACUAGGCAGUUUGUCCCACAUCUCAGCAGAGAGGAGACCGGUGGUAAAGGAGUUUUAUAGGCUUAUGGAGGAGGGGUUACAGCUUGAGUUGUCUGGUACAGGUUCUUUGAUAGCACAGAUGAAAGUUUCACCCGUGUUUCUGGAGCAGGUGGCUCAGAAACAGCAUGAGGACCCAGAGUUGGUUAAAAUUGCCAGAGCUGUUCAGUCAGGCAAUAAUGAUGAGUUCAGAUUUGAUGAUAAGGGGAUUCUCCGCUACGGGAAUAGAUUGUGUGUACCAGAUGAUGUUGGUCUGAAAGGAGACAUUAUGGGAGAGGCCCAUAAUGCUAGAUACAGCAUUCACCCUGGAGCCACCAAAAUGUAUCAGGAUCUGAAAAGAAUUUAUUGGUGGCCAGCUAUGAAGAGAGAAGUGGCACUGUUCGUGUCAGCCUGCGAUGUAUGUCAGAGGGUGAAGCUAGAGCAUUAGAAGCCGGCUGGAAUGCUUAAUCCACUGCCAAUUCCAGAGUGAAAAUGGGAAAAUGUAGCUAUGGACUUUGUAGUGGGGUUACCGGCAACGUCCAACAGACUAGACUCCAUAUGGGUGAUUGUGGACAGACUGACCAAAUCUGCUCACUUCAUUCCUGUCAGGAGUAACUAUUCUGUGGACAAGUUGGCGCAGGUGUAUGUUAAGGAAGUUAUCAGACUGCAUGGGGCUCCCGUUUCUAUAGUGUCAGAUAGGGGACCCCAGUUUACCUCCAGAUUUUGGCGGAGUCUGCAGAAUGCUUUGGGCACAAGAUUAGACUUCAACACUGCUUUCCAUCCACAGACUGACUGACAAUCAGAGAGGACCAUCCAGACUAUAGAGGAUAUGCUCAGAAUGUGUGUGCUAGAUUUUGGCGGUUCUUGGAGGCAACAUCUACCUUUAGUGGAGUUUGCCUACAAUAACAGCUAUCAUGCUAGCAUAGGGAUGGCUCCAUAUGAAGCUCUUUAUGGGAGGAAAUGCAGGUCACCAGUUUGUUGGGAAGAGGUUGGAGAGAGGUCCAUAGCAGAACCUGAAUUGGUAGAGAUUACCAAUAGAGUGGUGCCCAUUAUCAGAGAGAGACUCAGAACUGCUGUCAGUCGGCAGAAAAGUUAUGCAGAUGUCCGCAGGAAGCAUGUAGAGUUCCAGGAGGGUGAUCUGGUAUUGCUGAAAGUGUCUGCAAUGAAAGGGGUGGUUCGGUUUGGUAAGAAGGGUAAACUAGCUCCACGGUACAUUGGGCCAUUUGAGAAUUUGC